UUGAGUUGUGCGAUGCAUGCUGC
rnacentral:siRNA from 1 species